CUGGUUCGAGUGCAGGUUGCUAAAUGCAUAAAGAUUGGGUUGCCUAAGCUGAUAUAGCUGGUUUUUCUUUCACAGGUAGAGUACUUUUACUAACAUAAUCUUAAUUAGUCCAUUUUUUACUCAUGGGUGGGAUUGGAUGAUUGAAAAGCAAAUUUUUAGAAUGUCAAAGUUACUAUGGACUAGAAAAAGGUCUAUUGAUUUAAGAACCAAUGAGUAAGGUGCAUUUAUGUUUGCUACUUCAAUCAUGAUUGUGUUAUGUUCCUGAUUGAUUAGUAGCAUACACUAGCAUUGCUUCCCUUUAAGAAAGGAUGGAGCAGACUCCUUAUUCUGGAC
rnacentral:lncRNA from 1 species